rnacentral:rRNA from 1 species
UACGUGGGAGGCAAGCGUUGUCCGGAAUUACUGGGCGUAAAGGGUGCGUAGGCGGCUUCUUAAGUCUGGUGUGAAAUCUCCCGGCUCAACUGGGAGGGUGCGCCGGAUACUGAGGGGCUAGAGUGUGGGAGAGGAAAGUGGAAUUCCUGGUGUAGCGGUGAAAUGCGUAGAUAUCAGGAGGAACACCGGUGGUGUAAACGGCUUUCUGGACCAUAACUGACGCUGAGGCACGAAAGCGUGGGGAGCAAACAGG